rnacentral:rRNA from 1 species
GUGUCAGCCGCCGCGGUAACACGUAGGAGACGAGCGUUAUCCGGAUUUACUGGGUGUAAAGCGCGUGCAGGCGGUCUGUUAAGUUGGAUGUGAAAGCUCCCGGCUAAACUGGGAGAGGUCGUUCAAAACUAGCAGACUAGAGUGUGGUAGAGGAGAGUGGAAUUCCGAGUGUAGCGGUAAAAUGCAUAGAUAUUCGGAAGAACACCAGUGGCGAAGGCGACUUUCUGGACCACAACUGACGCUCAGACGCGAAAGCCAGGGUAGCAAACGGGAUUAGAAACCCGGGUAGUCC